UGUCGAGAAUUCGCCUCCAAAAUGUAGUCCUCGACAAGUCACAAAUGUUCGAAGUAACAAAAAUAUAUAUUCAAACAAAACAUAAAAUUUACCAAAGAUAUAUAACAAAAUUAAAAGAUUCACAAUGGUCACGAUUACGUAUAGAUAGAUAGCGCACGGGCUAUUAUCUCUCUUUCACAAAUACAAUUUCUCUCUCACUCACUGUCACAGUCCAACUACGAUUGUUCAACUAACUCUCUGCUCUCUUUCGUGACUAUUUCACUCACACCCUCACUUUGACACCUAAUCAUUCCUACGUCAUGCACUAAUAAUCAAUUAAAAUAAUAAUCUUAUCUGUCAGUUCCCGACACACUCCCCCAUAUAGCUCAGAAUUGAGGUAUAUGUCCUUGAAGGGACUGACUUCGUUGCUGUAGUUCAUCAUUUACUACCUAACAAAUAGAAUAUAUAAAGUUAAUAUGGAAUAAAGUUGUAAUAAAUGUCUCGCAUUAGUGUUCUUCCGCAUCCGCGACUUGCUUCAACCGUAUCUUCGCUGCUUCAGCUGCAUCCCUGGUCGGACGUGGGGUAAAGGUUGGUGCUUCCGGGUUGGGGGUCCACUUUGACUCGUCGCAGGAUAACUCCAAGGGAUAAAUAUGCUGGACCGCUCGCUCGAUAUUCCCGUUCGAGGUCCGUAUACUAGCUCCCCGUAUCACAUCAUCUCUUCCUUUCAUCACCCUGGACACGACUCCGAGUUUCCAUGCAUGACGUUUCUUGUCUUCGUCCCGAAUUAUGACGAUCUCCCCGAUCUUUGGAUAGGAGGUCUGUUUGCCGACCCGUUGGUUAUGGCGUUCGCGCAGGCUUCGAACAUACUCUUGGGACCAACGUUUCCACAUCGCCUCUUUACUUUUCCGUAAUAGUCUCGCACGUUUUCGUAAAUCUCUAUCUUCCAGGUAGUGGGGAUCAACUUCAGGCAGGACACAAGGGUUAAUGUUCAGCAUUGAGGAAGGUGUAAGUACUGGUAAUUGGAUGUCAUCUUCUAGAUAGGUCAACGGACGAUUAUUGAGAGCCACUUCCACAUCCAAUACUACUUCCUCUAAUUCGUCUAAGGUCAACGUUCCGUUACCGAUCGUUUUGUAGAACGCUCUUUUGAAGAGACCAAUGAGGCGUUCAAAUUGGCCUCCCCACCAUGGUGCACGACUAAGGUUGAACCUCCACUCGAUUCACUCGAUUGCGUUGUCAGCCAGGAAUGCGUUGAACUUCUCGUCCUUUUGUGCUUUCUUCAGCCAUUUGUCGGCAGCCUUAAAGGUCUUCGCGUUGUUGGAAUAUAUGAUCUUCGGGCGACCACGUCUUGCGAUGAGUCUUUUCAGACUUGGUAUGAACUCCGCAACUUCCAAUGACCGUAAAAUCUCGAGAUGCACUGCACGCGUCAAACUGCAGCCAUAAAGCACCAGAUAUGCCUUCUUCUCCGCUUUUGCUUUAGUCCGGUAGCGUAUUGGACCCGCAAAAUCUACUCCAAUGACUUGGAACGGGGUUGAACCUUGCGUUCUCGUGAUUGGCAGCUUCCCAGGUGGAGGUUUCUUAUAUGCUUGAGCUCUAGAUCUCACGCACCCGUAACAAUCUUUCCGCACUUGCUUCACCAACCGUCGCAGUUUUGGAAUCCAAAAUCGCUCACGUACUUUUGCCAUGACCAUAGCGACACCACCGUGGAGGGUUACUAGAUGUGCUCGUUCGACUACUUUCUUGGCUAAGGUGGAACUGCGAGGCAAGUACACGGGGAAAUCUCCUUCAAUUCGACCGCGGCAUUCGAGUACUCCGUUUCCGUUAAGCUGAAUGUUCAAUUGAAGUUGGAUGUCGUGGAAUUCAGGAUCUUCCUUGAUUUCACUUUGCGUUCUUUUAAUCGCCCAAAGUUCACUUUCUUCGAUUUCUUCCGACGUUAACGGUCCUGUUUUCCGAUUUUCGCAGGAUACCUUACGAUUCUUUGCAAACCGGUUGAAUUGGGCACGAAUUCUCAGGGCCUUCCGGAGAGAAAACUUCUUGAGCAACUCUUCCCAUAUGUCGAUGGUGAUCGAUUGCUUGAGCGUUGUUAGUGCUUGUUGAUUCUUGGUCGGUUUUAGUUCCUCUUGCACUUCUCGAUUCGCUUCGAGCACUGGAUUUGGUGGCCACUUUGCGGGGUCUUUCAGCCACUGUGGACCAUUUUCCCAAAGGUCGUUUCCAACAACACUUCCACCGCGACUACCUAAGUCAGCAGGAUUUUGUUUUGUUGGUACGUGAUGCCAUUUCACACGAGUGUGGGUUUGGAUCUUGGCAACGCGGUUGGCAACGAACUGGCGAUAUUCUCCUUGACCAUUGAUCCAGUAGAGCGCUACUGUGGAGUCCAACCAGCAAUGGACCGACGAGACUAAUUUUUGAUCGAUUUCAUUCUCCACGUUUGAUAGCAAGUUCACUGCCAUGUGUCCGGCAACGAGUUCUAGACGAGGUAUGGAGAGAUUACGCUUCGCCAAUCGAGAUUUUGCGCACACCAACCCUUGCGUUGUUCCAUGUUCUUGCUCUACAACUGCAUAUACCACGGCCGACACUCCAACUUUGCUUGCAUCGCCAAAGGCAUGAAGUGUGAUCGCUGCAACGAGCUCCUGGUGGAGAGCUAAGGAUCGUGGAAUCUCGUAACUUUGUGGGAGUCCUGUGUACCACUCUUCCCAGCGUUGCUUCGAGGUCUCGGGUAAUUCACCAUCCCAAGGAAUACGGGCUUCACACAUUUCACGGAAGAGAUUCUUUCCUUGCAACGUCAUAGGAGAGACCAACCCUAGUGGAUCGUAUAUUUUGGCGAGUUGGGAUAACACACUUCUCUUUGUUGUGCCAUAACCUUCGUGAUCAAGUGUAACGCUUAGACUGUCUUUCGACUUGUCCCAUGAAAGCCCAAGCAGUUU